rnacentral:misc_RNA from 1 species
AAGUCGAACAACGGUUCUCCGUUGGUGAACCAGCGGAGGGAUCAUUACUGGUCGUAAAAAACUCCCAAACCCUGUAACUUACCUAUGUUGCCUCGGCAGGACCUACCCGGGACCUACCCUGUGCUACCUUGUAGCUGCCGGUGGACAUCUAAACUCUUGUUUUUUAUGAAAUCUGAACGUCUUAUUUAAAUAAGUCAAAA